rnacentral:lncRNA from 1 species
UGGGAUCAUUGUUUCUGUCCCGUAAGUCAAAUUAAAUGAUGAUUCUUCCAUCGGUAUGCGAGGGGUUGUUCGAUAUGCCCAUAAGAUUGGAUAUAGUUCUUCCAUCCAGAGUCUUUAGCUUCAUUCAGUCGGAUUUUGAGUCCAUACAGAAUCGUUCGGUUGGUUACCUCCACCUCUCCAUUUGAUUGUGGAUGGCCGACUGA